CUACGGGACGCUGCAGUGGGGAAUAUUGCACAAUGGGCGCAAGCCUGAUGCAGCCAUGCCGCGUGUAUGAAGAAGGCCUUCGGGUUGUAAAGUACUUUCAGCGGGGAGGAAGGGAGUAAAGUUAAUACCUUUGCUCAUUGACGUUACCCGCAGAAGAAGCACCGGCUAACUCCGUGCCAGCAGCCGCGGUAAUACGGAGGGUGCAAGCGUUAAUCGGAAUUACAGGGCGUAAAGCGCACGCAGGCGGUUUGUUAAGUCAGAUGUGAAAUCCCCGGGCUCAACCUGGGAACUGCAUCUGAUACUGGCAAGCUUGAGUCUCGUAGAGGGGGGUAGAAUUCCAGGUGUAGCGGUCAAAUGCGUAGAGAUCUGGAGGAAUACCGGUGGCGAAGGCGGCCCCCUGGACGAAGACUGACGCUCAGGUGCGAAAGCGUGGGGAGCAAACAGGAUUAGAUACCCGAGUAGUC
rnacentral:rRNA from 1 species